GGCUGGAGAUUGUUGGUGGUCGGCGAGGGAGAGGGAGGCCUAAGAAGCAUUGGGGAGAGGUGAUUAGGCAGGACAUGACCAGAUUGACGGUUACCGAGGACAUGACCCUUCAUAGGGGCGUUUGGAGGUCUAGAAUCAGGAUUGUAGGCUAGGAGCUCCUAGAGUCCUUCGUUCGCAUCUCUCGGGGUUGGGUGUGGGAUAGUAGGGUUACCCAUAGN
rnacentral:lncRNA from 1 species